GAUGAACGCUGGCGGCGUGCUUAACACAUGCAAGUCGAACGGAAAGGCCAGUGCUUGCACUGGUACUCGAGUGGCGAACGGGUGAGUAACACGUGGGUGAUCUGCCCUGUACUUCGGGAUAAGCUUGGGAAACUGGGUCUAAUACCGGAUAGGACAACUUUUUGGAUAUUGUUGUGGAAAGCUUUUGCGGUAUGGGAUGAGCUCGCGGCCUAUCAGCUUGUUGGUGGGGUAAUGGCCUACCAAGGCGUCGACGGGUAACCGGCCUGAGAGGGUGUACGGCCACAUUGGGACUGAGAUACGGCCCAGACUCCUACGGGAGGCAGCAGUGGGGAAUAUUGCACAAUGGGCGCAAGCCUGAUGCAGCGACGCCGCGUGGGGGAUGAAGGCCUUCGGGUUGUAAACUCCUUUCGCUAGGGACGAAGCGUAAGUGACGGUACCUGGAGAAGAAGCACCGGCUAACUACGUG
rnacentral:rRNA from 1 species